CAUGCUUAUACAUUUCGAAAACCCUUGUUGCUCUCUCUAUUAAUACUUUUAAACCUCAUCAGUUAUUAAUUAAUGGAGUUUUGAGUCUCUCUCUCUUGUUCUUAUUCUCUCUAGAACUCUUAAUCUCCUAAACAUUAUACAAAUCACACAGAUUAAUUAUUAAACACACUACAAACACAAAAGUGUUUAUGGUAUCAGAGCCAGGUUCCGCAAAGGGGAGAGUGUGUUUGAUUAUGAUUUUCGAAAUCUGAGUUUCUUGAGGUGUUCUUGAGGUGUUCUUGGUGUUCUUGAUGUGUUCUUGGUGUUUUUUGGUGUGCUUGAGAUCGAAUUGAGUCUGUGGAGAGUUUCUGAUGGAUUCAAACGAGUUAAGCAUGGUGGAGGAGAUAAGAUCAAGAAGUGAAGAGAAGAAAGAGAGAGAAAACGAGUGUGCUUG
rnacentral:lncRNA from 1 species